UAAGACCUGUGUAUACUAUACACAUCUCCUGAAUGCAACCCAGACACUUUAAUUAAGCUAAGGCCUC
rnacentral:tRNA from 1 species